rnacentral:rRNA from 1 species
UCAGGUAGGACUACCCACUGAACUUAAGCAUAUCAAUAAGCGGAGGAAAAGAUACUAACCAGGAUUCCCCUAGUAACUGCGAGUGAGGCGGGAAAAGCUCAAAUUUAAAAUCUGGUGGUCUCCGGCCAUCCGAGUUGUAACCUAGAGAAGUGUUACCCGCGUCGGACCGUGUACAAGUCUCCUGGAAUGGAGCGUCAUAGAGGGUGAGAAUCCCGUCUUUGACACGGACCCCCGAGGCUUUGUGGUGCGCUCUCAAAGAGUCGAGUUGUUUGGGAAUGCAGCUCAAAAUGGGUGGUAAAUUCCAUCUAAAGCUAAUAUGGCGAGAGACCGAUAGCGAACAGUACCGUGAGGGAAAGAUGAAAAGAACUUUGGAAAGAGAGUUAAACAGUACGUGAAAUUGCUGAAAGGGAAACGCUUGAAGUCAGUCGCGUCGGCCGGAAAUCAGCCUUGCUCUUGCUUGGUGUACUUCCUGGUUGACGGGCCAGCAUCAGUUUUGACCGGUGGAUAAAGUUGUGAGGAAUGUGGCAUCUUCGGGUGUGUUAUAGCCUCGCUUCGUAUACAUCGGUUGGGACUGAGGAACUCAGCACGCCGAAAGGCCGGGGUUCGCCCACGUUCGUGCUUAGGAUGUUGGCAUAAU